rnacentral:tRNA from 1 species
AGGGAGCUAGUCUAAAAAAGACCUCUGAUUUCGGCUCAGAAAAUUGUGGUUUAAGUCCACGGCUCCCUU